CGCGCAGGCGGCCUUUCAAGUCAGGCGUGAAAGCCCCGGGCUUAACCUGGGAAUUGCGCUUGGGACUGGAAGGCUUGAGUACGGGAGAGGAGAGGUGGAAUUCCCAGUGUAGAGGUGAAAUUCGUAGAUAUUGGGAAGAACACCGGUGGCGAAGGCGGCUCUCUGGACCGUAACUGACGCUGAGGCGCGAAAGCGUGGGGAGCAAACAGGAUUAGAUACCCUGGUAGUCCACGCUGUAAACGAUGUGCGCUAGACGUUGGAAGGCCUAGCCUUCCGGUGUCGCAGCUAACGCUUUAAGCGCACCGCCUGGGGAGUACGGCCGCAAGGUUAAA
rnacentral:rRNA from 1 species